GUGAUAGUGAAAGUAGUAGAAGUAUAUAUAAUACUAAUGAAAUUGAUAAAGGGGUGAGGGUGUUGUGAGGGAUAAAGGGAAGAAAGUUGUAGAAGAUGGGUGUGAGGGGGAUAUUUGUUUUAGUUUUGAAAAGGGGGAGAGAAGUAACAAUAAUUUUGGUUGUAAGUUAGUAGAGAGGAAUAGGCAAGGGGAAGUACAAUGGUUAGUUAAGGAAGUUGUGAAAGGGUUUGAAGGCAUAAGGAUGAAUGAUGAAAAAAAGGGUCUCGAAGAAUAAGAAGAUGAAAAGAUGAAGAGUAAAAAUGGAGUAUGAUGAAAGUUUUGGUGAUGGGAAUAUUGGAAUAAUGAAAAGGGAAAGGUAAGGAAUUUUAUAGUAACUAAGGUAGGAAUCAGUGAAAAUGAGGAGAAAAAUGAGUCAUUAUAUUAUGGAGUUACCUCUAGAUGAAGCAAUGACUGAUGUGAGCUAAAUAGAUAGAGUGGAAGGGAUUGAUAGUGAGUGGCAUAUUGAAAAUGUGAUAGUUAAUUUGAAAAUGGAAUGGGAACAGAGUAAUGGUGUAACAC
rnacentral:lncRNA from 1 species